rnacentral:misc_RNA from 1 species
AAAGUCGUAACAAGGUUUCCGUAGGGUAAGUUCUUACCCUUUACCCCUAUCUUUGUUGCUUGUGAAAUAGUUGCUAACGUUUAUUAUAGUGAACCUGCGGAAGGAUCAUUACCUGGUUUCGGGCAUUCGUGUCCAAACUUCAACCCUUUGAUUUAAUCCACUCGUUUCUUUGCCGGUUUCGAUCGGCAGAAGAAUUCUCAAACUCGAUAAAAAGAAACUGUAAAUCUGAACUUACAAAAAAAAUAAAUUAAAACUUUCAACAACGGAUCUCUUGGUUCUG